GGCUCCUCGCAUGAUCGUCCCGCGAAGCGCGCCAGGGCGGA
rnacentral:SRP_RNA from 14 species